GGGUUGUGAGGUUAAGCGACUAAGCGUACACGGUGGAUGCCCUGGCAGUCAGAGGCGAUGAAGGACGUGCUAAUCUGCGAUAAGCGUCGGUGAGGUGAUAUGAACCGUUAUAACCGGCGAUUUCCGAAUGGGGAAACCCAGUGUGUUUCGACACACUAUCAUUAACUGAAUCCAUAGGUUAAUGAGGCGAACCGGGGGAACUGAAACAUCUAAGUACCCCGAGGAAAAGAAAUCAACCGAGAUUCCCCCAGUAGCGGCGAGCGAACGGGGAGGAGCCCAGAGCCUGAAUCAGUGUGUGUGUUAGUGGAAGCGUCUGGAAAGGCGCGCGAUACAGGGUGACAGCCCCGUACACAAAAAUGCACAUGCUGUGAGCUCGAUGAGUAGGGCGGGACACGUGGUAUCCUGUCUGAAUAUGGGGGGACCAUCCUCCAAGGCUAAAUACUCCUGACUGACCGAUAGUGAACCAGUACCGUGAGGGAAAGGCGAAAAGAACCCCGGCGAGGGGAGUGAAAAAGAACCUGAAACCGUGUACGUACAAGCAGUGGGAGCCUCUUAAUGGGGUGACUGCGUACCUUUUGUAUAAUGGGUCAGCGACUUAUAUUCUGUAGCAAGGUUAACCGAAUAGGGGAGCCGAAGGGAAACCGAGUCUUAACUGGGCGUUAAGUUGCAGGGUAUAGACCCGAAACCCGGUGAUCUAGCCAUGGGCAGGUUGAAGGUUGGGUAACACUAACUGGAGGACCGAACCGACUAAUGUUGAAAAAUUAGCGGAUGACUUGUGGCUGGGGGUGAAAGGCCAAUCAAACCGGGAGAUAGCUGGUUCUCCCCGAAAGCUAUUUAGGUAGCGCCUCGUGAAUUCAUCUCCGGGGGUAGAGCACUGUUUCGGCAAGGGGGUCAUCCCGACUUACCAACCCGAUGCAAACUGCGAAUACCGGAGAAUGUUAUCACGGGAGACACACGGCGGGUGCUAACGUCCGUCGUGAAGAGGGAAACAACCCAGACCGCCAGCUAAGGUCCCAAAGUCAUGGUUAAGUGGGAAACGAUGUGGGAAGGCCCAGACAGCCAGGAUGUUGGCUUAGAAGCAGCCAUCAUUUAAAGAAAGCGUAAUAGCUCACUGGUCGAGUCGGCCUGCGCGGAAGAUGUAACGGGGCUAAACCAUGCACCGAAGCUGCGGCAGCGACACUAUGUGUUGUUGGGUAGGGGAGCGUUCUGUAAGCCUGUGAAGGUAGCCUGUGAGGGUUGCUGGAGGUAUCAGAAGUGCGAAUGCUGACAUAAGUAACGAUAAAGCGGGUGAAAAGCCCGCUCGCCGGAAGACCAAGGGUUCCUGUCCAACGUUAAUCGGGGCAGGGUGAGUCGAUCCCUAAGGCGAGGCCGAAAGGCGUAGUCGAUGGGAAACAGGUUAAUAUUCCUGUACUUGGUGUUACUGCGAAGGGGGGACGGAGAAGGCUAUGUUGGCCGGGCGACGGUUGUCCCGGUUUAAGCGUGUAGGCUGGUUUUCCAGGCAAAUCCGGAAAAUCAAGGCUGAGGCGUGAUGACGAGGCACUACGGUGCUGAAGUGACAAAUGCCCUGCUUCCAGGAAAAGCCUCUAAGCAUCAGGUAACAUCAAAUCGUACCCCAAACCGACACAGGUGGUCAGGUAGAGAAUACCAAGGCGCUUGAGAGAACUCGGGUGAAGGAACUAGGCAAAAUGGUGCCGUAACUUCGGGAGAAGGCACGCUGAUAUGUAGGUGAAGCGACUUGCUCGUGGAGCUGAAAUCAGUCGAAGAUACCAGCUGGCUGCAACUGUUUAUUAAAAACACAGCACUGUGCAAACACGAAAGUGGACGUAUACGGUGUGACGCCUGCCCGGUGCCGGAAGGUUAAUUGAUGGGGUUAGCGGUAACGCGAAGCUCUUGAUCGAAGCCCCGGUAAACGGCGGCCGUAACUAUAACGGUCCUAAGGUAGCGAAAUUCCUUGUCGGGUAAGUUCCGACCUGCACGAAUGGCGUAAUGAUGGCCAGGCUGUCUCCACCCGAGACUCAGUGAAAUUGAACUCGCUGUGAAGAUGCAGUGUACCCGCGGCAAGACGGAAAGACCCCGUGAACCUUUACUAUAGCUUGACACUGAACAUUGAGCCUUGAUGUGUAGGAUAGGUGGGAGGCUUUGAAGUGUGGACGCCAGUCUGCAUGGAGCCGACCUUGAAAUACCACCCUUUAAUGUUUGAUGUUCUAACGUUGGCCCGUAAUCCGGGUUGCGGACAGUGUCUGGUGGGUAGUUUGACUGGGGCGGUCUCCUCCUAAAGAGUAACGGAGGAGCACGAAGGUUGGCUAAUCCUGGUCGGACAUCAGGAGGUUAGUGCAAUGGCAUAAGCCAGCUUGACUGCGAGCGUGACGGCGCGAGCAGGUGCGAAAGCAGGUCAUAGUGAUCCGGUGGUUCUGAAUGGAAGGGCCAUCGCUCAACGGAUAAAAGGUACUCCGGGGAUAACAGGCUGAUACCGCCCAAGAGUUCAUAUCGACGGCGGUGUUUGGCACCUCGAUGUCGGCUCAUCACAUCCUGGGGCUGAAGUAGGUCCCAAGGGUAUGGCUGUUCGCCAUUUAAAGUGGUACGCGAGCUGGGUUUAGAACGUCGUGAGACAGUUCGGUCCCUAUCUGCCGUGGGCGCUGGAGAACUGAGGGGGGCUGCUCCUAGUACGAGAGGACCGGAGUGGACGCAUCACUGGUGUUCGGGUUGUCAUGCCAAUGGCACUGCCCGGUAGCUAAAUGCGGAAGAGAUAAGUGCUGAAAGCAUCUAAGCACGAAACUUGCCCCGAGAUGAGUUCUCCCUGACUCCUUGAGAGUCCUGAAGGAACGUUGAAGACGACGACGUUGAUAGGCCGGGUGUGUAAGCGCAGCGAUGCGUUGAGCUAACCGGUACUAAUGAACCGUGAGGCUUAACCUUACAACGCCGAAG
rnacentral:rRNA from 1 species